rfam:Minicystis rosea strain DSM 24000, complete genome.
UGGGAGAUCGUCUAAUGGCAGGACGCAAGGUUCUGGCCCUUGCUAUCGGGGUUCGAAUCCCUGUCUCCCAG